GAUGAACGCUGGCGGCGUGCCUAAUACAUGCAAGUCGAGCGAACAGACGAGGAGCUUGCUCCUCUGACGUUAGCGGCGGACGGGUGAGUAACACGUGGAUAACCUACCUAUAAGACUGGGAUAACUUUGGGAAACCGGAGCUAAUACCGGAUAAUAUAUUGAACCGCAUGGUUCAAUAGUGAAGGACGGUUUUGCUGUCACUUAUAGAUGGAUCCGCGCCGCAUUAGCUAGUUGGUAAGGUAACGGCUUACCAAGGCAACGAUGCGUAGCCGACCUGAGAGGGUGAUCGGCCACACUGGAACUGAGACACGGUCCAGACACCUACGGGAGGCAGCAGUAGGGAAUCUUCCGCAAUGGGCGAAAGCUUGACGGAGCAACGCCGCGUGAGUGAUGAAGGGCUUCGGAUCGUAAAACUCUGUUAUUAGGGAAGAACAAAUGUGUAAGUAACUAUGCACGUCUGGACGGUACCUAAUCAGAAAGCCACGGCUAACUACGU
rnacentral:rRNA from 1 species